CCGUCCGUAACACUUUAACUUUGUGUCCGCUCUAUAUCUUAAAAACCGUUAUGAUUUCAAAGUUUAUACUUGACAUCCAUUUUAACCAACACCAGAGGGUGUGUCAUGAUGUAUGUAAAACUUCCUAGGUCAAAGGUCAAGGUCAAAAACUUUGGUUUCAGUUGACAACCCUGUGUCCUGUGGUGAAGAUCGUGUCCGCUCUAUAUCUUGAGAACCGUUAUGAUUUCAAAGUU
rnacentral:lncRNA from 1 species